rnacentral:rRNA from 1 species
GUCGGGAGUUAGGAAAUGUAGACUCGCUAAUAUCGGGUCUAUUUGACAAAGGCUCCAAAGGAAGCCACGGCUAACUCUGUGCCAGCAGCCGCGGUAAUACAGAGGUGGCAAACGUUGUUCGGAAUUAUUGGGCGUAAAGAGCACGUAGGUGGAUUUGUAAGUCAGACGUGAAAGCCUUCUGUUCAACGGAAGAAUUGCAUCUGAAACUACAAACCUUGAGUGUAGGAGGGGAGAGUGGAACUUCUGGU